ACAAAAUUAAAAAUUAGCCAGGUGUGGUGGCAUGUACCUAUAGUCUCAACUACUCAGGAGGCUGAGGUGGGAGGAUCACUUGAGUCCAGAAAUUCGAGGCUGCAGUGAGCUAUGAUGGCACCACUGAACUCCAACCUGGGUGACAGAGCGAGACACUGUCUCUAAAAGAAAAAAAUUCUUAGAAAAUAUGCCCAAGAUUCAGUUAUGAUAUAGCAGAGCAGGUGGUCCAGUCCUUGUGUUCUCUCUCCCAAGGUCUGUUCAAUUUACGCUGUGCCUAAAGGAGAAUACUGAUAGAGAUGAUAAACACGGAAAGAAAACCAAACUGCAAUAGGAUGCCAUUUCUCAAGAUUUGCCCCACCCAGAGCCGAGCUUCAUUUAGACUUAGCUUUAGUGGAACUUUCUAGCUCCCUCCCAUGUCUUGACAUCCAUUACCACCAUAUGUUUGCUUGGGAUAGAGGUCAAAGAGGAUCCUCUGGCAUGUUUUGCUGGGUUCCUGUAGUCAUUUCAACAGGAUUAACUAUAAUCUAUAAUUGAUAGAUUAUUGAGUGACACACAGCGUGAUGCUGGGCAGGCCCCAAGCUGAAAAGCAUCUCCUCCAACUUACUUUAUUCUUAGCAAUUCAUUCCUUUGGUUUGAAAAUUCUUCAGCAUCUUCAAGAGUCCUUUACUAAUGCAUCCUUUGGGGGAGUUGUGCUAAAUUAUCAACUCACAAGGAUGAGAUGGCUGGCUCUAGGGAGCCAGCCUGCCAACAUGGAUGGGCUGUCCCAGGCUCUCAAGUGAGCUCAGGUCUGUACACUGCACUCCAGGGAAGAGUAAAUGUGCCUGGGGCAUAGAAUGGAGACUUUGGAGUUUGGAGUUUGGAGUGGGUUUGGGGACAUCAGCUUCUCUCUUCCAGUUAGUCUGAUAAGUCCUUUGUUGCCUGGCCCUGGAAACCACUUGUGCUCCGAAAAUGCCAUUCUCUGGAAUGUAGCUGUGGAGUAGGGAGAGAGUUGGCCCCUGUGUUCUGUAACCCAAGCAAGUACUGUCUCACUGCCAUCUUGGGGCAGACUCCGCAGUAAGGAGAAUCUCUCUUGCCUUUUUGUGUUUCUUGGUUUCUUCCUUUGUAAAUACAAGGCAUAGUCUCUGCCCUUCCCCCAGAUUGCCAGAAGAGUGGGAUAUAUUGUUCUAGCAAUAUAAAGCUCUGAGGCCUUUCUGCAGGACUGUAGACACCACUUUGCUGUGAUAGUGAAGAAUGUGGGGAGUGUUGUGAGGCUAGGCGAGCGGCCCGGCCUUGCCCAUGACAGCUCAGUCUCCUCCCCUCAUAACUUUUUUACCUAACAGAGAAUUAAAAAAAAAAAACAAUUUAGCUGGGCACAGUGGCUCAUGCCUGUAAUCCCAGCACUUUGGGAGGCUGAGGCAGGUGGAUCACUUGAGGUCAGGAGUUCGAGACCAGCCUAACCAAUGUAGUGAAACGCUGUCUCUACUAAAAAUACAAAAAUUAGGCAGGCAUAGUGGCGCAUGCCUGUAAUCCGAGCUACUCAGAUGCUGAAGUGGGGGAAUCACUUGAACCUGAAAGGCAGAGGUUACAGUGAGCCGAGAUCAUGCCACUGCACUCCAGCCUGGGUGACAGGGUGAAACUCCGGCUCAAAAAAAAACCAAAUAAUUAAUCAACAAGGAAUAACUCCAUUGGUCUCUAAUAAUGAGACAGAGGGGGAAGAAACUUCGUCCAACUAUUCAGGAAGAUUAAGCAAUUCUGAACCGUUAGGAGUAGAAGAAGUGAGCGUAUUCUCGUCCAAAACACUUGGAAAAUGUCUGUUAUUCUCUGAAGUGAAUGGAUCUAAAUUCAGAAAUGCUGAGAGAAAAAAUGAAAGUGAUAAAUAUGGCUCCUUCGCUGCAUUGGUUCUUCUAUGAAUGAAGUUUUUUUUCAUUCAGAAAAAAGUAGUUAUUGAGCGCCUACUAUGUACUGGACGCUGAGCUAGGCCCUGGGUGUACAGUGGAGAGCCAGAUGAGGUCCCUGCCUUCAUGGAGUUCACAUUCUAAUGGAACAGGUAGAUAAUGAACAACUAAAUUUAUAACCUCAGGUGGUGGUAAGUGCUGAAGAAAAUACACCAUGGAAUAGUAUGGAGCCAUAAAAAAUAACAAAAUCAUGUCCUCUGCAGCAACAUGGAUGCAGUUGGAGGACAUUAUCCUAAGCAAAUUAACACAGAAACAGGAAACCAAAUAUUGCGUGUUUUCACUUAUAAGCGGGAGCUAAACAAUGAGUACAAAUGGACACGAAGAUGGGAACAACAGACACUGGAGACUCCAAAAGCGAGGAAGGAAAGAGGAGCUAGGGCUGAAGAACUUCCUGUUGGGUACUGUGGUCACUCUCUGAGUGACAGGAUCAAGAGAAGCCCAGACCUGAGCACCAUGCACUGUGCCCUUCUAACAAACCCGCACAUGUGCCCCCUGAAUCUAACCAAAAAAAAAAAAAAAGGGCAAGAUCUACCAAGUUCAUGAGUAGGAAGGUUCAAUAUAAAGAUGGCCGGGCGCAGUGGCUCACGCCUAUAAUUCCAGCACUUUGGGAGGCCGAGGUGGGUGGAUCACCUGAAGCCAGCAGUUCAAGACCAGCCUGGCCAACAUGGUGAAACCCCGUCUCUACUAAAAAUACAAAAAAAAAUUAGCUGGGUGUGGUGGCUCAUGCCUGUAGUCCCAGCUACUCGGGAGAUUGAGGCAUGAGAAACGCUUGAAACCGGGAGGUGGAUCAAGUUGAAGUGAGCCGAGAUCACGUCACUGCACCCCAGCCUGGGAGAC
rnacentral:lncRNA from 10 species